GACGAACGCUGGCGGCGUGCUUAACACAUGCAAGUCGAACGGAAAGGCCCUGCUUUUGUGGGGUGCUCGGGUGGCGAACGGGUGAGUAACACGUGAGUAACCUGCCCUUGACUUUGGGAUAACUUCAGGAAACUGGGGCUAAUACCGGAUAGGAGCUCCUGCUGCAUGGAGGGGGUUGGAAAGUUUCGGCGGUUGGGGAUGGACUCGCGGCUUAUCAGCUUGUUGGUGGGGUAGUGGCUUACCAAGGCUUUGACGGGUAGCCGGCCUGAGAGGGUGACCGGCGACAUGGGGACUGAGAUACGGCCCAGACUCCUACGGGAGGCAGCAGUGGGGAGUAUUGCCCAAUGGGCGGAAGCCUGAGGCAGCAACGCCGCGUGCGGGAUGACGGCCUUCGGGUUGUAAACCGCUUUCGCCUGUGACGAAGCGUGAGUGACGGUAAUGGGUAAAGAAGCACCGGCUAACUACGUG
rnacentral:rRNA from 1 species